CAAUAGCGUAUAUUAAAGUUGUUGCAGUUAAAAAGCUCGUAGUUGGAUUUCUGGUGGGAGCGAUCGGUCUGGCGCUUAGCGCGAGUACUUGCAUCGUCUCCGGCCAUCCUUGGGGAGAGUCUGUCUGGCAUUAAGUUGUCGGGCAGAGGAUCCUCAUCGUUUACUGUGAAAAAAUUAGAGUGUUCAAAGCAGGCUUAUGCCGUUGAAUAUAUUAGCAUGGAAUAAUAAGAUAGGACUUUGGUACUAUUUUGUUGGUUUGCGCACCAAAGUAAUGAUUAAUAGGGACAGUUGGGGGUAUCCGUAUUCCGUUGUCAGAGGUGAAAUUCUUGGAUUUACGGAAGACGAACUACUGCGAAAGCAUUUACCAAGGAUGUUUUCAUUAA
rnacentral:rRNA from 1 species